UGGGGAAUUUUGCACAAUGGGGGAAACCCUGAUGCAGCGACGCCGCGUGAUUUAGAAGGCCUUCGGGUUGUAAAAAUCUUUUGUAUAGGAAGAAAAUGACAGUACUAUACGAAUAAGGACCGGCUAAUUACGUGCCAGCAGCCGCGGUAAUACGUAGGUCCCGAGCGUUGUCCGGAUUUAUUGGGCGUAAAGCGAGCGCAGGCGGUUAGAUAAGUCUGAAGUUAAAGGCAGUGGCUCAACCAUUGUAGGCUUUGGAAACUGUUUAACUUGAGUGCAGAAGGGGAGAGUGGAAUUCCAGGUGUAGCGGUGAAAUGCGUAGAUAUAUGGAGGAACACCGGUGGCGAAAGCGGCUCUCUGGUCUGUAACUGACGCUGAGGCUCGAAAGCGUGGGGAGCGAACAGG
rnacentral:rRNA from 1 species